rnacentral:lncRNA from 1 species
UAACCCUCGAAAAUACAGCUUCUAUAGUUAUUGCUAUUAGUUAAUGCAGGAUAAUACAGUAUUAUCUAUUAUGUUUUUGUAUUUAUAAACAAAAAACCCCUUUCACUGUUCAGUUACCCUGACAUUCUACAAAGAUUAAAUACAGUCUGCACCUGCAGUUCAAAGAUCAGACUUAAGUGGACACCCACAAAAUGUGGCCUUUCUCCUGUUGGGAGGGUCAGGUUCUAUAACAUUAUCUGUAUGUUUGUCUGGGACAGAUAACAACUCCGGGUUCUUCCCAUCUGUACAUAACGGUACUCAAAUAAACCAAGGCCACUGGAUUUCUUGCUAAACUGACUUUCUUAUUCCUUAGGACCUUUAGGUGACAAAUGCUGGGAAAGUAGAAAUAUAAAAUGCAAUCCAACUUCACAACUACAUUCAAGAGGCAAGCUCAUUGCUUUCUGUAUUUUACACAACCAGCAUCAAAAUAAUAAUUGAGCAACAAACAGAAUUAGAGCUGAAAUGUAUUUCAGAGUCUGCCUGGAAAGUAUGCAACAGGUGAAAACAAGAAACUUCCUCUUCAUCUAAGGCAGGAAAGUUCUUCCCAUGCAGAGCUCCAAAAUCACCACUUCUAACCAAUAAAACCCCCUGAUAUUUACGAUACCAUUGUUUUUGUAAAGUUCUACCUGGGGGGGAAAGUCUAAUUAAAAAAGCUCUUCUUUAAAAGACUUUUCCUUAUCCUAUUAGGAAAAACAAAAGUCACCAAUAACAGGAAUUCCCUGAUCUGGCACACUUUGAAGCUGCUAUUGCUUUUAUUUCACAAACCACCACCUGUCACUGUAAAGGUAUCAGCCAAUCACACUGAGAGCACUGUACCACCAGCUGUAUUUACCUACAUUGAUUCCAACUGUCAGGCAGAAAAAAAAAAAAAAAAAAAAGGAAAAGAAGAAAAUGAAAACACAGCUAAUACAGUUAAAUGCAUGAACAUCUGAAAACGUUUGCUGCCUGACUCAGCAGCUUCAACAAUAAUAACAAAAUCAGCCACAAAAUCCUGAGAUUCUGCCACAUCUGCUCCAUGGACAUUUCAGUCAUGGGUUUUUUUGCUGUAAAUUUAAUGGAGCUUAUGUGGAGGAACGAACAGACCCCCCCAGUGAGAACAUUUGUAGUUCAGUGCUUAGCAGGUAACGCAUCAGUUGUACAUUUCAGCUAGAGUAAAUUUAACUAUCACUGAUGUUUCCUCACACAGACAGACUACAGAUAAUGGCACUGAAAUCCUACACAUACUCUGUUCCAAAACAAGGAUGAACAGAGUUUUUAAUGAGUUACAACCAUCACACCAUAACUAAACCCAAACAACAAAUGCCAAUAGAAG